rnacentral:rRNA from 1 species
AAUGAACGCUGGCGGCAGGCCUAACACAUGCAAGUCGAACGGAUCCUUCGGGAUUAGUGGCGGACGGGUGGGUAACGCGUGGGAACAUACCCUUCGGUACGGAAUAGCCUCGGGAAACUGGGAGUAAUACCGUAUGUGGUCGAGAGACGAAAGAUUUAUCGCCAAAGGAUUGGCCCGCGUUGGAUUAGGUAGUUGGUGGGGUAAUGGCCUACCAAGCCGACGAUCCAUAGCUGGUUUGAGAGGAUGAUCAGCCACACUGGGACUGAGACACGGCCCAGACUCCUACGGGAGGCAGCAGUGGGGGAUCUUAGACAAUGGGGGAAACCCUGAUCUAGCCAUGCCGCGUGAUCGAUGAAGGCCUUAGGGUUGUAAAGAUCUUUCAGGUGGGAAGAUAAUGACUGUACCACCAGAAGAAGCCCCGGCUAACUCCGUGCCAGCAGCCGCGGUAACAC